rnacentral:rRNA from 1 species
GAGCUUGCUCCUUUGACGUUAGCGGCGGACGGGUGAGUAACACGUGGAUAACCUACCUAUAAGACUGGGAUAACUUCGGGAAACCGGAGCUAAUACCGGAUAACAUAUUGAACCGCAUGGUUCAAUAGUGAAAGGCGGCUUUGCUGUCACUUAUAGAUGGAUCCGCGCCGUAUUAGCUAGUUGGUAAGGUAACGGCUUACCAAGGCAACGAUACGUAGCCGACCUGAGAGGGUGAUCGGCCACACUGGAACUGAGACACGGUCCAGACUCCUACGGGAGGCAGCAGUAGGGAAUCUUCCGCAAUGGGCGAAAGCCUGACGGAGCAACGCCGCGUGAGUGAUGAAGGUCUUCGGAUCGUAAAACUCUGUUAUCAGGGAAGAACAAAUGUGUAAGUAACUGUGCACAUCUUGACGGUACCUGAUCAGAAAGCCACGGCUAACUACGUGCCAGCAGCCGCGGUAAUACGUAGGUGGCAAGCGUUAUCCGGAAUUAUUGGGCGUAAAGCGCGCGUAGGCGGUUUUUUAAGUCUGAUGUGAAAGCCCACGGCUCAACCGUGGAGGGUCAUUGGAAACUGGAAAACUUGAGUGCAGAAGAGGAAAGUGGAAUUCCAUGGGUUAAACGGG